rnacentral:rRNA from 1 species
GACGAACGCUGGCGGCGUGCUUAACACAUGCAAGUCGAGCGGUAAGGCCCGUUUCGGGGGUACACGAGCGGCGAACGGGUGAGUAACACGUGGGUGACCUGCCCUUAGCUCUGGGAUAAGCCUGGGAAACUGGGUCUAAUACCGGAUAUGACUCCAUGACGCAUGUUGUGGGGUGGAAAGCCUUGUGCGGCUAGGGAUGGGCCUGCCGGCCUAUCAGCUUGUUGGUGGGGUGAUGGCCUACCAAGGCGUCGACGGGUAGCCGGCCUGAGAGGGCGACCGGCCACACUGGGACUGAGACACGGCCCAGACUCCUACGGGAGGCAGCAGUGGGGAAUCUUGCGCAAUGGGCGAAAGCCUGACGCAGCGACGCCGCGUGGGGAU